rnacentral:rRNA from 1 species
UACGUAGGGUGCAAGCGUUUGUCCGGAAUUAUUGGGCGUAAAGGGCUCGUAGGCGGUCCGUCACGUCGGGAGUGAAAACUUGGGGCUUAACCCCAAGCCUGCUUCCGAUACGGGCGGACUAGAGGUAGGCAGGGGAGAACGGAAUUCCUGGUGUAGCGGUGAAAUGCGCAGAUAUCAGGAGGAACACCGGUGGCGAAGGCGGUUCUCUGGGCCUUACCUGACGCUGGAGGAGCGAAAGCGUGGGGAGCAAACAGG